CGCUGGCGGCGUGCCUAAUACAUGCAAGUCGAACGGUCUUUCUAUGGAAGCUUGCUUCCACUGAGAAGAUAGUGGCGAACGGGUGAGUAACACGUGGGUAACCUGCCCAUAAGAGGGGGAUAACAUCCGGAAACGGGUGCUAAUACCGCAUAGUUUUCUUGAUCGCAUGAUCGGGAAAGGAAAGACGGCCUUUGUGCUGUCGCUUAUGGAUGGACCCGCGGCGUAUUAGUUAGUUGGUGAGGUAAUGGCUCACCAAGACGAUGAUACGUAGCCGACCUGAGAGGGUGAUCGGCCACAUUGGGACUGAGACACGGCCCAAACUCCUACGGGAGGCAGCAGUAGGGAAUCUUCCGCAAUGGACGAAAGUCUGACGGAGCAACGCCGCGUGAGUGAAAGAAGGUUUUCGGAUCGUAAAACUCUGUUGUCAGAGAAGAACAAGUUGGAGAGUAACUGCUCCAGCCUUGACGGUAUCUGACCAGAAAGCCACGGCUAACUACGUGCCAGCCGCGGC
rnacentral:rRNA from 1 species